rnacentral:rRNA from 1 species
AUUGAACGCUGGCGGCAGGCUUAACACAUGCAAGUCGAGCGGGGGAAGGUAGCUUGCUACCGGACCUAGCGGCGGACGGGUGAGUAAUGCUUAGGAAUCUGCCUAUUAGUGGGGGACAACAUCUCGAAAGGGAUGCUAAUACCGCAUACGUCCUACGGGAGAAAGCAGGGGAUCUUCGGACCUUGCGCUAAUAGAUGAGCCUAAGUCGGAUUAGCUAGUUGGUGGGGUAAAGGCCUACCAAGGCGACGAUCUGUGGCGGGUCUGAGAGGAUGGUCCGCCACACUGGGACCGAGACACGGACCAGACUCCUACGGGAGGCAGCAGUGGGGAAUAUUGGACAAUGGGGGGAGCCCUGAUCCAGCCAUGCCGCGUGUGUGAAGAAGGCCUUAUGGUUGUAAAGCACUUUAAGCGAGGAGGAGGCUACUUUAGUUAAUACCUAGAGAUAGUGGACGUUACUCGCAGAAUAAGCACCGGCUAACUCUGUGCCAGCCGCCGCGGUAA